rnacentral:misc_RNA from 1 species
UGGAGCUGUCGUCGAUGACCGCUAUACCGGGGAGAUUCAUGUGACAAUCAUCGCAACCGGCUUUCCACAAUCAUUUCAGCAGACCCUCUUGACAGAUCCAAACAAGGCAAAGAUUGUGGAGGCCCAACAACCGAAAGUCGAAAGCCUACCGCAGAAGGCUGGCAGUAGUAUGUCUCCAGUGGCCUCUCGGGCUCGAAAGCUCUUUUUCUAACCAUUUCAUUCCCCACCCUGAUUUGAG